UACGUAGGCAGCAAACGUUGUUCGGAAUUACUGGGCGUAAAGAGUGUGUAGGCGGUUCUGUAAGUUUGGUGUGAAAUCUCCUGGCUUAACUGGGAGGGUGCGCCGAAAACUGCAAGGCUUGAGUACUGGAGAGGAUAGCGGAAUUCCUGGUGUAGCGGUGAAAUGCGUAGAUAUCAGGAGGAACACCGGCGGUGUAGACGGCUGUCUGGACAGUAACUGACGCUGAGACACGAAAGCGUGGGGAGCAAACAGGAUUAGAUACCCUGGUAGUCCACGCCCUAAACGAUGCAUACUUGGUGUGGGCCAUUCAUUUGGUCCGUGCCGGAGCUAACGCGUUAAGUAUGCCGCCUGGGGAGUACGGUCGCAAGGCUGAA
rnacentral:rRNA from 1 species